AUUCCAGCUCCAAUAGCGUAUAUUAAAGUUGUUGCAGUUAAAAAGCUCGUAGUUGAAGUUCUGGUUGCUCGGGUCCUCAGCCUAAGGCGGGGAUACCGACAAUCAUCCGCUUGCAAGCAUAUGUUCGGCCUUAAACAGCUGGCUAUGUGAGUAAGCAAUUUACCUUGAGAAAAACAGAGUGUUCCAGGCAGGUUUGUCCGGGAUGCAUUAGCAUGGAAUAAUAGAACAUGACUGAAGUCUAUUGAUUGGUUUAAGGCUUUAGUAAUGAUUAAUAGGAACAGUCGGGGGCAUUCGUACUCAGCAGUCAGAGGUGAAAUUCUAAGAUUUGCUGAAGACGAACUAAUGCGAAAGCAUUUGCCAAGGAUGUUUUCAUUG
rnacentral:rRNA from 1 species